CCUUUAGAAAUGAAGAUUAAGACCCCAUAACGUAUUUAUGCCGCAUGAUUUAUAUUAAAGGUUACGGUACAAGAUGAGUAUGCGUCCUAUUAGCUAGUUGGUAUGGUAACGGCAUACCAAGGCAACGAUAGGUAGGGGCCCUGAGAGGGGGAUCCCCCACACUGGUACUGAGACACGGACCAGACUCCUACGGGAGGCAGCAGUGAGGAAUAUUGGACAAUGGGGGCAACCCUGAUCCAGCCAUGCCGCGUGCAGGAAGACUGCCCUAUGGGUUGUAAACUGCUUUUGUACGGGAAGAAACACCGCUACGUGUAGCGCUUGACGGUACCGUAAGAAUAAGCAUCGGCUAACUCCGUGCCAGCAGCCGCGGUAAUACGGAGGAUGCAAGCGUUAUCCGGAAUCAUUGGGUUUAAAGGGUCCGUAGUGGGCCGGUCAGUCAGAGGUGAAAUCCUGCAGCUCAACUGUAGAACUGCCUUUGAUACUGCCGGUCUUGAGUUAUUGUGAAGUGGCUAGAAUAUGUAGUGUAGCGGUGAAAUGCAUAGAUAUUACAUAGAAUACCGAUUGCGAAGCAGGUCACUAACGAUAUAUUGACACUGAUGGACGAAAGCGUAGGUAGCGAACGGGAUUAGAUACCCCGGUAGUCUACGCCGUAAACGAUGGAUACUAGCUGUCCGG
rnacentral:rRNA from 1 species